rnacentral:pre_miRNA from 1 species
GACUAGUGACGUUUGGGAUAUGUUGGGUUGGAGACCGGAAAAUCAGUUAGCGAUAUUAACUGAUUUUCCGGUCUCUAACCCAACAUAUCCCAAACGUCACUAGUC